rnacentral:rRNA from 1 species
GAUCCUGGCUCAGGAUGAACGCUAGCUACAGGCUUAACACAUGCAAGUCGAGGGGCAGCAUGAACUUAGCUUGCUAAGUUUGAUGGCGACCGGCGCACGGGUGAGUAACACGUAUCCAACCUGCCGAUGACUCGGGGAUAGCCUUUCGAAAGAAAGAUUAAUACCCGAUGGCAUAGUUCUUCCGCAUGGUAGAACUAUUAAAUAAUUUCGGUCAUCGAUGGGGACGCGUUCCAUUAGGUUGUUGGG